UCCUACGGGAGGCAGCAGUGGGGAAUAUUGCACAAUGGGGGAAACCCUGAUGCAGCCAUGCCGCGUGUGUGAAGAAGGCCUUCGGGUUGUAAAGCACUUUCAGUUGUGAGGAAAAGUUAGUAGUUAAUACCUGCUAGCCGUGACGUUAACAACAGAAGAAGCACCGGCUAACUCCGUGCCAGCAGCCGCGGUAAUACGGAGGGUGCGAGCGUUAAUCGGAAUUACUGGGCGUAAAGCGCACGCAGGCGGUUUGUUAAGCUAGAUGUGAAAGCCCCGGGCUCAACCUGGGAUGGUCAUUUAGAACUGGCAGACUAGAGUCUUGGAGAGGGGAGUGGAAUUCCAGGUGUAGCGAUGAAAUGCGUAGAUAUCUGGAGGAACAUCAGUGGCGAAGGCGACUCCCUGGCCAAAGACUGACGCUCAUGUGCGAAAGUAUGGGUAGCGAACAGGAUUAGAUACCCUGGUAGUCCACACCGUAAACGCUGUCUACUAGCUGUGUGUGUCUUUAAGACGUGCGUAGCGAAGCUAACGCGCUAAGUAGACCGCCUGGGGAGUACGGCCGCAAGGUUAAAACUCAAAUGAAUUGACGG
rnacentral:rRNA from 1 species